GUCGAACGCGAAAGCCCCUUCGGGGGCAAGUAGAGUGGCGCACGGGUGAGUAACACGUAGGUAAUCUACCUUUGGAUGGGGAAUAACAACCGGAAACGGUUGCUAAUACCGCAUAAUGCAGCGGCACCUAAUGGUGACAGUUGUUAAAGCGGGGGAUCGAAAGACCUCGCGUCUGAAGAGGAGCCUGCGGCGGAUUAGCUAGUUGGUAAGGUAACGGCUUACCAAGGCGAUGAUCCGUAACCGGCCUGAGAGGGCGGUCGGUCACACUGACACUGACAUACGGGUCAGACUCCUACGGGAGGCAGCAGUCGGGAAUUUUGGGCAAUGGGCGAAAGCCUGACCCAGCAACGCCGCGUGAAGGAUGAAAUCCCUCGGGAUGUAAACUUCGCAAGAACGGGAAGAAUAAGUUGGUGUGAAUAUCACCAGCGAUGACGGUACCGUUUGUAAGCUCCGGCUAACUCCGUGCCAGCAGCCGCGGUAAUACGGGGGGAGCAAGCGUUGUUCGGAUUUACUGGGCGUAAAGGGCGCGUAGGCGGCCACUGCAAGUCGGUUGUGAAAUCUCCGGGCUUAACCCGGAAAGGUCAAUCGAUACUGCAGGGCUAGAGUGCAGAAGGGGCAACUGGAAUUCUCGGUGUAGCGGUGAAAUGCGUAGAUAUCGAGAGGAACACCUGCGGCGAAGGCGGGUUGCUGGGCUGACACUGACGCUGAAGCGCGAAAGCUAGGGGAGCGAACGGGAUUA
rnacentral:rRNA from 1 species